GGGCGGGUGCUAUACAUGCAAGUCGAGCGAAUGGAUUAAGAGCUUGCUCUUAUGAAGUUAGCGGCGGACGGGUGAGUAACACGUGGGUAACCUGCCCAUAAGACUGGGAUAACUCCGGGAAACCGGGGCUAAUACCGGAUAACAUUUUGAACCGCAUGGUUCGAAAUUGAAAGGCGGCUUCGGCUGUCACUUAUGGAUGGACCCGCGUCGCAUUAGCUAGUUGGUGAGGUAACGGCUCACCAAGGCAACGAUGCGUAGCCGACCUGAGAGGGUGAUCGGCCACACUGGGACUGAGACACGGCCCAGACUCCUACGGGAGGCAGCAGUAGGGAAUCUUCCGCAAUGGACGAAAGUCUGACGGAGCAACGCCGCGUGAGUGAUGAAGGCUUUCGGGUCGUAAAACUCUGUUGUUAGGGAAGAACAAGUGCUACUUGAAUAAGCUGGCACCUUGACGGUACCUAACCAGAAAGCCACGGCUAACUACGUGCCAGCAGCCGCGGUAAUACUUAGGUGGCAAGCGUUAUCCGGAAUUAUUGGGCGUAAAGCGCGCGCAGGUGGUUUCUUAAGUCUGAUGUGAAAGCCCACGGCUCAACCGCGGAGGGUCAUUGGAAACUGGGAGACUUGAGUGCAGAAGAGGAAAGUGGAAUUCCAUGUGUAGCGGUGAAAUGCGUAGAGAUAUGGAGGAACACUAGUGUCGAGGGCGACUUUCUGGUCUGCAACUGACACUGAGGCGCGAAA
rnacentral:rRNA from 1 species